ensembl:lncRNA
UUCUGUCAACUCACCUGACAGGUUUCUGGCCCUGAUCAUGCACUGACACAUUUUCUCAGUGUUGUUCGUAAGGCUUUUGUACCGUAGCAGUUAAACCUAUAGCAACAUUUAAUACCUUAACGAUAACCACUGAUACGUUUUGAAGGCAUCGCAGCUCUCCAUUGACUUACUUGAGCGUUAACUUCGUGUUGCAAGAAGUUGAACAAGCAAAACAGUUCACACACCGUGCCUUAUUCAGAGCAGACGCAACUAGAGCAAGGAAAAAAAAAAAAAGGGUAAAUCAUUAGCAUUACCAAAAACAUUAAGAGUUAAUCUCAAAUGUUUGUGAGAUGGGAAGAAUAAUCAUUUGAAUCUUGUAGCAAGCAUUAAGGCCUGCAAUAAUAACGUGGCAGGGCCUGGAAGGCACAGCGGAUAGUUGCACAGUGGGACUGUGAAGCACCGAUAAAGCUGUCUCUGAGGGCACGCAACUCUGUUUUGCAGAGAAAGCGUUUACUCCUUGUUCUGUAUACCUUCAGUAUGUUUCACUUUAUGUUUCAGCAUACCUUCGCGCCUUUCCCUGCCAAACGUUGCUUCUCUUUUCAACCUCAGAUAGAGGAUUCAGGACAAUGUUCUUCUCCUCCAUUUUGUCAGCAGCAGACAGAACCCGAACUUCGUAAAGCCAAACUUCUUUUCCCACACUAUGGGGCAAGCGCACCCACAGAUGCUUACAUCUAUUCCACUGCUUGCCAAAAUAAUACGAGCCGAAGGAAAGUCUGCUUACAAGAGAUCUCUAUAAUGCAGGUUCUUAAAAAACUGCUGCCACAAGCAUUUGCUUCACCAGAUAGGAAGGAAAAACAAAACUGGAUACUCAUCGUUUGUGAUAGCAGUGUCAAAUUUGUGUGCAAAAAUGAAAGGAGAAAUGUAGAAUAAUUGAAGAUGCACAAUGAAAAUGAUGACUACUUCAUUAUCUGUUCAGUUCAGCGACUGAAAUGUGCAAUACUGAGAGUCAGAUCAUAUGGCGCAACAUACAGAGAUGCGGUGAUCAGACAAGGCUGCAUUUUCUCAUUCACUCCAAGCCCCAGUUCUCUUCAUUCAGGGUCACAGUGAAGAGGACACCGCUCCUGGAUUGUUGUUCUGCAGAGAGAAUGCCUCUUUGUGGUUUAAUGGGAGCAGUCGGGGAUGCAACAAAGGACUUUCCUCCCACUUUUAGAGAGAACUUUCAUCAAAACGUAACCUUAAGAAAACAGCCAGAGAACUGCCUACCAUCUCCUUCCUUCAAUCACACGAUUGCAGUGGAAACAUACAUCACCAAACAGCCGAAGAGAAAGGAGAAAGAAAGAAUUUUUAAGGGAUGCCAGCAAUACCUCAAUCACCUGCCCUUCAUCGCUGAGAAAUUUAGAAUCCACCUGCAAUUAGCAGAUGCCGUACAACUCCCAUAUGUAAUCCUCCUUUAUUAAUCCAAGCAAAGAUGUGUACGUGACACCUAGCAUUUGGCUCCCAAAGAAGAAAGGUCUAUCCAUUCUGGUGCUGGACUGCACAACCACGGGAGUCUGCAGGGAAAUGGGACUGCACUGCUGAUGGUCUCCCAGUGUCUUGGAGAAGUGCGAGUGAUGAUAGCAUUCACUCCAUUACUGCCCCUGAUUCUCGCGUCCUAGUUGCCGCUUCCCUGGGCAGCCUGUUCCAGUGCCUGACCACUCCCUCUGAGAAGAAUUAUUUCCUAACAUCCAACCUGAACCUCCCCUGGCACAACUUGAGGCCAUUCCCUCUAGUCCUAUAGAAGAGGAAUUGUCUUGGGACGCACAUAGGUAGAUUGAUCCAAAAUUAAUGCCUCCUACUUAUUAUCAUGGGAGCUACAACUGCUACAAAGGGCACAAUAAUGCUGUUUAAGAAAGCACAUUCUCCGCUGCAAAAUGCUUUUUCAGUGUAGUCAUCACCACUAGCUGUGCAUUUUCUCCAGCAAUGAACAAGAACCUGAGUGCUGCGCUCAUAACAGCCUGCACCAGCGGAGGUGUCCCAGUGUCACUGUCACCACUGCUGAAAUGCACCGUGCACCAUCUCACUGAGCUCACAACCACUGCUUGGACUCCAUAAACGUUCAGCAAAGAUUGAUGAAGGUCAGUGGGUGUCGUCAUUUUCACCUGGAGGAAUUCAGUGACAGCUUGAUGGUUGGCUCGAUGUGCACUUCCAUGUCAGACACCGUUGUGUCACGCUGCCUGACUGCUGCCAGCUGUUGCACGGCAACAACGUGUAAUGGGAUAUGGGUGAGAAGGUUCAACCUCUACUGCCAUGCCACCAACACCCGCCUCUGGUGUUUUGGGCCAACAUAUAAAAUAGGGGGCAUUGCUUCUGGAGCAGCCCUCAUAAGAUGUAUAAUACAGGUAAUGUAUAGAAGUAACCAAGCUUUUUUUAUUUUUUAACACUGUUUAUUAAAGCAUAC